CUCGCGCCUGGAGGCUAUGGCCUUGCGGGAGGAUUCCUGCUGCCUCGCCGGCUCCGGGACGUCGACAGCCGCAACUGCUGUUGAAGCCGGAGGAUAGAGGUGGGAUGUGCUGCUGAUGGUCGCCACCGUCCGCGGGUUGCAGUGGUAUGAUGGCGCAGGCAGCUGAAGGAGCUAGGCGGGAUGUACUGUUGAUGGUCUCCGCCGUCUGCUGAUG